GGCCAAAGAGAAAAGAAAAAGCCACAAAAUGAAACAAAUGAAGCAACACAGCCCAGAUGCACACCAGCCCAAUACUGCCCUAGGUAAAUAAGCAACUGCAGCUCAUCUACAUCUACAGGGCUCACCUCAUCUAGGGGGCUAAAUGCUCAUGCAUGAAGUUACAUAUGGGAGAGGCAGGCUUUUUUGCACAGACUCAGCCUUCAGCAUGGACACAAUUUGUUCACAAAUAGGACCUCCAGUUGCUCAAUUUAAGAUUCCAUAUGCUGUUCCUGCUGAUAAUGAGAUUUUAAAGAUUAUGAGAUAAACUAACUUGUCAUUCUGAUUCAAAAAGCAAGGAAAUAAGACCUGAGUGCUAUAAAAUCAUCUGGUGGCUAGUCCUGUGCCGGGAAGCUGUUUGGGUUACCUGGAUGCUUUGCACUGCCUGGGCGGUCCCGUGCCUACGGACACCACCACGUACAGCUCCCCAUGCACACCUGAGGGGCAGGCUCGUCCUCACAACAAGAAGAUAGGAACAUGCGUGAUGGUCAACAACUGCUCUCAUUGUGAACGAUGGGAGGAAGCUUUCCAGUACCCAAUAGCACGUUGUCUAUUUCCUCAAUCAUUUAAAUGGAACUGCUUUUCAUUUAUUCCUGAAGCAUGUUUGUAUCUGCAUUCAAUAGUGUUGUUAAGCUGUCUGGAUGUGUGUCAUCAUGGCAAGUGUGAGUCUCUCCAGUCCCGUAACGAGCGCACAGCUGCCAGGGAAGUGCAGCACAGGCAGGACUUGGGAAAACGGGAAAAGCUCACCAGUGGCAAUUCAAGAGUCGGGGAUGAGGGAGGUUUAAUGAUGGAAAAGGAUGAAACUGACAUAACCAAGAGCUGGAGAA